rnacentral:hammerhead_ribozyme from 1 species
AUCCGGCUGACGAGUCCCAAAAUAGGACGAAACACACGUACGAGAU